rnacentral:lncRNA from 1 species
UAAUAUUUUAAUUUUUAAAAUUUUUCUAAAUUAUGAAUAAUUUUGAAUCCACUGUUUAAUAUUUUAAAUUUAAAUAUUUUAAUUUAUUUUUUAAAUUUAUUUAAUAUGAAACGGUCAACGAUACUUUAACUUUAAAAUUUAAGUUAAUUACUUAUUUUAUUGAAUCAAUAGUUGUGAGAAUUACAUAAAAUAUACUGUCUAAAUCUGUAAAGAUAAAUGAUGCAUUUAAAUUUUACAGUCAGAGUAUUAUUAACUGAAUCAAAUCAAACAAAUUGAAAUAUUAGAUAGUAAUAUGAAAAAUUUAAAAGGUUGGAUAGGGAACUCAAAAUGGUUUAUAGUUAGGUAAGUUUUGUAUAUUUUAAUCAUAAUUUAUUAUAAUUUUUAGCCUGAAUUUGUCAAAAUGUUGUAAUCAGGUCUUACAGUGUAAUUUAAUUGACUAAAUACUAAUAGAUUGCUGGUGUGAUAAUGAUACAACAACAUUAGAAUUAACAACAUAAGAAUAAUUAAGAUGCCACACUAUCAGUACAUCAGUGACAUAUUAUUAUUUAACCAAUAAAAUUGCAUGGUGAGACGAUUGCAACACGAUCGAAAGUUCAAAUCAAAAAUUACAACAAAUUAAAAUUUGAAAACUAAAACGUCAGAUGACUUAUAGUUUGAGG